CCCCACCCCACCACAUCCACACGCUCUCUCAAACACACUGCAGGCUGCACUUCAGCUCCACAAGACAGCAUGCGCAAAGUUCGAGCAACAGGUCACCAGUUGAAAGUCUCAACUAACAAAUAGUGAUAUGGAUCACGGACACGAGAUACAAGCCUAAAUUUUUUUAAUGACUCGAAAAACCCAAACAUGUUAGCUGUCCUGCGGGGGAGAAGGUUGUGAACAGGAGGAUGUUCUAGAUGAUGCCUACAUCUACAUCUUUACUCCACUGGAACAGAUCUGGAUACGGUUCAGGCAUUCUCAAUAAAUCCAAGGGACAUUGCAGAAUCAGUGAAAGACCACAUCCAACAGGACGGACAAACAUUCAAUGUGCAAAAGGCAAGAAGUGUGCAAAUACAAAAGGAAACAGAAAUAACAAUAAUAAUAAAUAUAUAAGCAAUAAAUAUCAAGAACAUGAGAUGAAAGUCCUUGAAAGUGAGUCCACAGGUUGUGAGAACAUUUCAGCGAAGGAACGAGUGAAGUUAUUCCCUCGGGUUCAAAAGCCUAAUGGUUGAGGGUUGAGAAAUGAAUGGAUUCCGCUUAAAAGUGUGGGGAACAAAAAUUAACCUGUGACCCAUGACAUUCUUGCAGCAAAGUGUGUUACAAUCAAUCACAGAUUCUUGUGGAAAGGGCCAAUUUUCGGAUACAGACCUUGCAGCACACCAGGGAAAUCCAAUGACGAGGAAUUAUUUCAUCUCAAACACCAUUCUCAGGAAUCUCAACCAUAAGCGGUGGACUAAAAUCCCAGUUGGGUUCCAAAAUCUUUUGUUUGGAGUAUGAUCAAGAAAACGAGGCCCUUGUUUUCAGAACCGAGAUACAAAGUCAGUGACUUGGAACAGGGAAAUGUACCACCUUUCUCAGUGGCAGCAGAUUUCAGAGUGUUUUAACAUUUGUGUAAAAGAGCACUGCAAACUCUAACUAAGCAAUGUCAAGCAAUGUUAAAAAUGACAACUGUAGAUGUAGAAAUUUUGACCACUGUUGGAACGGCCCUCUUCAGAAUAAUGUCACAGGAUUUUUCAGCACUCCUACUGAAAGAAAAAGAUGGAUCACAAUGUGUCUCCUCCAAAAAAUUCCACAAAGCAAAGCAAUGGGGAUGACUGGGAAGGAAAGAUUUGAAACAGAAAGGGAAAAAUCUACAGCUCUGUUUCAGCCAAAGUAAAUUCACUGUUAAUCAAGCAAUCUAGAGCCCAAAACUUAGAGCAGCUUUUAUUAGUACACUCUACUUAGAGGUCUAGCGGGACUGAAAGUUCACUGGCCCAAGGCUCAUGUACAGGGCCACCUGGCUUGAGAGACAGGAACCUUUAAAUGCACAGUCAUGACACAAAGGAGCCUUUGUCCUUCUCAUCCUGCUUGGUGAUGGGACACCUCCUAAAAAAGAAGAGAAAGAGACCCAAAUAAAAGUUGAUUUGCAGAGGGGAGAGCUCAAAACAGGUGUGUUGCAUAACUCAUUGCUCAAAGUGUGCUUUCGUCAAUUCAUACAUAGCAGACAGCUCAUUCUUUGGGAAUUGAGUCCCAGGCAACUGCCGACACAAAUUGACAAAUCUGGCUCGGGAGAGGAGAUGCCUUCUUUUAUCAAAAGGAAGAGUUUAUGAAGCCCAAAAACAUGUAGGUUUAUUUUCCCCUUGCUUACCAGAACUCUUGCAUUGCUAGUUAAGUAUGUU